rnacentral:rRNA from 1 species
AUUGGUGUGAAUUGCAGAAUCCCGUGAACCAUCGAGUCUUUGAACGCAAGUUGCGCCCGAAGCCAUUAGGCCGAGGGCACGUCUGCCUGGGCGUCA